rnacentral:rRNA from 1 species
GGGGAAUAUUGCACAAUGGGGGAAACCCUGAUGCAGCCAUGCCGCGUGAAUGAAGAAGGCCUUCGGGUUGUAAAGUUCUUUCGGUGACGAGGAAGGUUGGUAGGUUAAUAGCCUAUCAAAUUGACGUUAAUCACAGAAGAAGCACCGGCUAACUCCGUGCCAGCAGCCGCGGUAAUACGGGGGGUGCGAGCGUUAAUCGGAAUAACUGGGCGUAAAGGGCACGCAGGCGGUGACUUAAGUGAGAUGUGAAAGCCCCGGGCUUAACCUGGGAAUUGCAUUUCAUACUGGGUCGCUAGAGUACUUUAGGGAGGGGUAGAAUUCCACGUGUAGCGGUGAAAUGCGUAGAGAUGUGGAGGAAUACCGAAGGCGAAGGCAGCCCCUUGGGAAUGUACUGACGCUCAUGUGCGAAAGCGUGGGGAGCAAACAGGAUUAGAUACCCUGGUAGUCCACGCUGUAAACGAUGUCGAUUUGGGGAUUGGGCUUUGAGCUUGGUGCCCGUAGCUAACGUGAUAAAUCGACCGCCUGGGGAGUACGGCCGCAAGGUUA